UACGAAGGGGGCUAGCGUUGCUCGGAAUCACUGGGCGUAAAGGGUGCGUAGGCGGGUCUUUAAGUCAGGGGUGAAAUCCUGGAGCUCAACUCCAGAACUGCCUUUGAUACUGAGGAUCUUGAGUUCGGGAGAGGGAUGCGGAAUUCCAGGUGUAGCGGUGAAAUGCGUAGAUAUCUGGAGGAACACCGGUGGCGAAGGCGGCAUCCUGGACCAACACUGACGCUGAGGAGCGAAAGCCAGGGGAGCAAACGGG
rnacentral:rRNA from 1 species